AUGCUCCGAACCUCCGCCACAAUCCUCCCCGGCGGCAUCCCAGCCUUGCUGUACACCGGCCGCAUCGACGCCGACAAGGAGGUGCAGGUGCAAAAUGUCGCCUUCCCCAAGAACCCUGCCGACCCGCUCCUCCGCGAGUGGGUCAAGCCUGCCUACAACCCCGUCAUACCACUCCCAGCUGACGUCCCUGGAGACAAUUUCCGUGACCCGACCACGGCGUGGGUAGGCCGCGACGGCCUAUGGCGUAUCGCCGUUGCAGCCAAGGUCGGUGGCCCCAAUGGCAUUGCCUCCACGCUCAUCUACCGAAGUAAGGACUUUCGGCACUGGAAGCGGAAUGCCUUGCCGUUGUACACAUCGCGCGCGGCAGGCGUGGUCGAAUGCCCGGACUUAUUCCCGGUGGCGGAGCCUGGCGUGGAGGAGGGGCGACUUGGCUACGCGGCCGGACCAGCGAGCAGCGCUGUGAGGCACGUGCUGAAGCUGAGUGUGAUGAACACGACCCAAGACUACUAUGCGGUCGGCAGGUAUGAUGAUGUGGCGGACACCUUUGUGCCGGAGGUGGAUGUAGAGCGCAACGCCGAUGAUUGCCGGACCUGGCGCCGCUUCGACUACGGGCAUGUGUAUGCAUCAAAGUCCUUCUUCGACUCGAGCAAGAACCGGCGCGUGCUAUGGGCAUGGGCCAAUGAGUCUGACAACCAGGACAACGACAUCGCUAGGGGCUGGUCCGGCGUUCAGACGGUUCCGAGGAAGGUGUGGCUGGACGAAGACAGAGCGCAGGUGAAUUCCGGUGGCGUGGACAAGAUCGUUGGUGUUGGCGCGCAGGCUGACGUGGAGGCCAUUUUCGAGAUCCCGUCCCUAGAAGAGGCUGAGACUUUCCAGCCCAACUGGCAGCUGGACCCCCAAAAGCUAUGCGAGGAGAAUGGUGCGUCCGUGCCAGGCAAGGUCGGCCCCUUCGGGCUGCUCGUCAUGGCCUCCAGCAACAUGCAGGAGCACACGGCUGUCUUCUUCAGAGUGUUCACACACAACUAG
rnacentral:rRNA from 1 species